rnacentral:misc_RNA from 1 species
AAGCCGUAACAAGGUUUCCGUAGGUGAACCUGCGGAAGGAUCAUUCACACUUAAAGGAGUCUGAGCAGUCAAAUGCUUCAUUCUCUGAUUCUCCAAACUAAACCCAAUAUGCUACCGCUCCAAUUUUAGGGCUUCCGUUCUCUUCGGAGAAUCGUAGGAGUAGUGUUUGUCCUCGGACAGGCAUGCCUAAUCAACUGAUUUUACCUUACCCCCCGUCGUUGCUUGUGGAGCUUGCUCUGCUUGUGAUUGUCAUUCCGGACUGAGUCUGUUUCUCGUCGACUUAAGCACUCGAUGUUGAAGCAUGUUAGACCAAUACGCAACACUACACUUUUGUGUAAACAAUACAACUCUUUGCAAUGGAUAUCUUGGUUCUC